rnacentral:misc_RNA from 1 species
ACACCCUCAACUCUUUAUGGUUUUCCAUGAUGAGCUUGGACUUUGGGGGUUUUGCUGGCCUACGGUCGGCUCCUCUAAAAUGAAUCAGCUUGCCAGUGUUUGGUGGGCAUCACAGGUGUGAUAACUAUCUACGCUUGUGGUUUUCCACCAGGUAACCUUCAGCAGUGGAGGUUUGCUGGAGCUCACAGAUGUCUCUCUCGCCGGUGAGGAGAGGGAGGACCCUUUGAAC